AGCAACCUGCCCUAGGCUUUGGGAUAACCCCGGGAAACCGGGGCUAAUACCGGAUAUGACCACAUGUCGCAUGGUGUGUGGUGGAAAGUUUUUCGGCCUGGGAUGGGCUCGCGGCCUAUCAGCUUGUUGGUGGGGUGAUGGCCUACCAAGGCGACGACGGGUAGCCGGCCUGAGAGGGCGACCGGCCACACUGGGACUGAGACACGGCCCAGACUCCUACGGGAGGCAGCAGUGGGGAAUAUUGCACAAUGGGCGGAAGCCUGAUGCAGCGACGCCGCGUGAGGGAUGACGGCCUUCGGGUUGUAAACCUCUUUCAGCAGGGACGAAGCGGAAGUGACGGUACCUGCAGAAGAAGCGCCGGCCAACUACGUGCCAGCAGCCGCGGUAAGACGUAGGGCGCGAGCGUUGUCCGGAUUUAUUGGGCGUAAAGAGCUCGUAGGCGGCUUGUCGCGUCGACCGUGAAAACCUGGGGCUCAACCCCAGGCCUGCGGUCGAUACGGGCAGGCUAGAGUUCGGUAGGGGAGACUGGAAUUCCUGGUGUAGCGGUGAAAUGCGCAGAUAUCAGGAGGAACACCGGUGGCGAAGGCGGGUCUCUGGGCCGAUACUGACGCUGAGGAGCGAAAGCGUGGGGAGCGAACAGGAUUAGAUACCCUGGUAGUCCACGCUGUAAACGUUGGGCGCUAGGUGUGGGGGGCCUCUCCGGUUCUCUGUGCCGCAGCUAACGCAUUAAGCGCCCCGCCUGGGGAGUACGGCCGCAAGGCUAAAACUCAA
rnacentral:rRNA from 1 species